GCCUGUCUGGCUCAGUUGGCAGAGCAUGUGACUCUUGAUCUCAGGGGUGUGAGUUCGAGCUCCACAUUGGGUA
rnacentral:tRNA from 1 species